rnacentral:piRNA from 1 species
UAUGACAACCCGUUGUCAGUCUUGAG